GUCUUGUUAGUUUAUUUAUUAAAAUGUAAUUUUGAAGAGAUUGAGAAAUAAAAAAGACG
rnacentral:tRNA from 1 species